CACAAGUGACCUGCUCUUAGGUGACAAUGCUAUGAAUGUUGCACUGCUAUUACUUUAUUUUUAAAAAUCUAUUUUUUCUUAGAGGGAUAUGACUGGAGUUCCUUUGGGUAAAAUGAAUAGAAGGCAUUGACCCAUCUAGUCCUUCACUCACAAAGGGUUGUGUUGAUGUUGGAGAACAAUAUGUUGGGGAGCGUGUAGAGCGGAGCACACUCUCCACUGAGGACUUGCCAAACUGCCACACAAGUUCUGCUGCAGACAGACGUCAAUGAGGUCUGCAUAUCCAGUCUUUUCCACAAAGCUUUUCAUCAUUAAGCUUCAAGCCGCGCUCAAGAUUCAAUAUAUUAAUAGGAACUGAGAAUUUGAAGUGAAUAUUAAGAGGUGAAGUGAAACUUAUAAAUACAAUCAUUUACUUGCAUCCUGAUUCUGAGAAGCACUAUGAUCCAGACUGUUGGAUAAAAAAUACGAAAAUGAACGGCUGCAGUAUUUGCUGAGUCAACUCUCUGCAAGUUUCUUUUGUAACUGAAGAAUCAGACUUGAGAACUUGUUGCCUCUUAGGUAUUAUUACUACUGCGUUUCACAGCCACGUUUAGCAGUGGUGGUGGUAGGAACUUCAGAAGAGACAACUGCAGAAAUGGCAGCGGAGGCGGCAGGAGCACAAGGACUGUGUGCAUCCUUGACAGAAAACACCCU